rnacentral:rRNA from 1 species
AUUGAACGCUGGCGGCAUGCUUUACACAUGCAAGUCGAACGGCAGCGCGGGCUUCGGCCUGGCGGCGAGUGGCGAACGGGUGAGUAAUACAUCGGAACGUGCCCAGUAGUGGGGGAUAGCUCGGCGAAAGCCGGAUUAAUACCGCAUACGACCUGAGGGUGAAAGCGGGGGAUCUUCGGACCUCGCGCUAUUGGAGCGGCCGAUGGCAGAUUAGCUGGUUGGUGGGGUAAAGGCCUACCAAGGCGACGAUCUGUAGCUGGUCUGAGAGGACGACCAGCCACACUGGGACUGAGACACGGCCCAGACUCCUACGGGAGGCAGCAGUGGGGAAUUUUGGACAAUGGGCGCAAGCCUGAUCCAGCAAUGCCGCGUGUGUGAUGAAGGCCUCGG